rnacentral:lncRNA from 1 species
CAGGGAAACUUAACUGCUAUGGAAACAAGAGCAGAUUCAUGAAAGGAGAAUUCAGUGGCUUCUACAGUCUGCAUGACAUUUUACAGACGUAAAGGGAAAGGAAGUUAAAAACCACUGAAAGCUGAUAUUAAGAAGCACCGACCAUCUGGAAAGAAACUUCAUUGUCAUGAUUUCCAGAGCAGAGUUGCAGAAGUACUUAGAUAACCUUCAGAAAAAAAGUGAUCCUGCAUGAUGUUGUGAAACACAUUUCCAAUUUCUAAGAUACCAACAUCAAGCAGCUAUUCAGAGAACAUAGGGAAAUCAGACCUUAAUGAACAAUCUCCCAUGCCUCCUAAGUCACUCUAGCAUGAAAGGCUGCGAACAUUCAGGCUCUGUAACAGCAACGCAAGCAGAGCUGCAGAGAGAGACUGGCCUUGACAGGGCUGCCACCGGAGAGAAUGACUUCAUCACCCAUCACUGCCAGGGAACACAUUGCAGCAGGUAUAUUGGCAAUAACUUUUACAAGUGGACAGCAGCUGCCAUCAGUUUAAAUGUGAAUCAAAAAAAAAAAAAAAAAAAGAAAGAAAGAAAGAGAGAGAGAGAGAGAGAAAGAAACUGGUACCACAAGAAACAUAAAGAAGAGACAGCUUUUUUCAGAACUUUGCAGAUAUAUGAAGAUUCAUGUUUUGCAGUUGCGUGAGCUUCAAAAAAU